CGUUUUAAAAGACAACGUGUAAUUUUUUUUAGAUUAUACGCAAAAACUAUAAUAUCUUUUUUUUUUUUUUUUUUUGUGUGUGUGUUUCUAAACUAAAUCGUUUUCAAACAAGUGUCUCCACCGUGCGUGUACUCAAAAUAUUAUCGAUAUCAUACAAUUUACGUGAGUAUGGUAAUCGUAUUUGAUCAUAUUCAGAUUCAUAAUUUAGACAAAAGCACAAUACGGAAGCCUUCUGAUUUCGU